CAUUGUUUGGAUAAUAAUUUG
rnacentral:miRNA from 1 species